ACUCAGCAUAAAAUUCCUCCCAUCUAGCAGAGAAGCAGUCUUACCCCUUUGCAGGUCAAAGCAUAACAGCAACUAAAUCACCCAAUAUCCUAUUCUGGCCAAAGUAAGCAGAACCACACAUCAAAAAUAGAAAGAUAGUGACCUCAGGUUGGGUCUAGUAGGAAUACUUGAGAUUGAAACGAGGGGGCUGAGGAGUUCCUAUCAUUACUCAGUGGGUUACAAGCCUGACUAAUAUCAGUAAGGAUGCAGAUUUGAUCCCUGGCCUCAUUCAGUGGGUUAAGGAUCUGGUGUUGCUGUGAGCUGUGGUAUAGGUCACAGAUGAGGCACGGAUCUGUUGUUGCUGAGGCUGUGGCAUAGGCCUGUAGCUGCAGCUCCAAUUGGACCCCUAGCCAGGGAAUGUCCACAUGCCAUAAGUGUGGCUUUUAAAAAAAAAAAGGUGGCAGCUAGAACCCAAUUCCUCUCAAUCCUUGACUUUUCCCAUGACUGAUGUGGCCUGGUGGAAGCAAGGUCAGAGUUAAAAAAACAUUAAUAUCUCUCUGCACACACAUGCUUUUGGGGACUGAGAAAGGACACUAUGGAGGGCCAGUUCCAGGUCUGAGGUCCAUCAGCCCUCCUGGGAUGUAGGAGGUACUAGAUUCUUCCUUCCUGGGUUCCCAGGAUGCACCCUGGGUGUUGGGAGCUGUUGCCCAGAAGUUCCAUGAAAGGAAGGAGGCGAGAAAAGAGAGAAGUAGAAAUGGCAUUUGUGCUGAGCCUCCUGUAUCAGUUCUCUCCUUCACUCACUCAGUGCAAGGAACGUUUGCCAGGAAACCCACAGAUGGCCUGGUGCAAGAGCUGUCCGUAGGAACCCAGUCUGGCUGACCAACUCAAGCAAAUCUCUCCCAGAGGAUUUAAACUAAUACAUGCAGAGACUAUGAUAAAUUGGUAGAAAGAAGAAGCAGGAAGAGAAUCGGAGGUAGUGGAACUGAAGGGGAUUCAUAAAGUUGCCAUGGAAGGCCCAGAAUGUACCAGACAAUUAGUGAUGUUUUGCAAAGUUAACCGUCAGUAAAUAUUGCUUAACCUCUAAGAAAGGCUGCUGACUCUGUACCAUGUCUUCCUCACAACCCCCUGAAUCUUUACACUAAACCUCCUAUGCUUGGAGGCGUAAUUCUACCAGGCCUAGAAUUAGGCCAGUUAUUCUGCUAAAAUAAGAAAUAAGGAGUUCCCGUCAUGGCGCAGUGGUUAACAAAUCCGACUAGGAACCCUGAGGUUGCAGGUUCCAUCCCUGCCCUUGCUCAGUGGGUUAAGGAUCUGGCACUGCCGUGAGCUGUGGUGUAGGUUGCAGACGCGGCUUGGAUCCCGCAUGGCUGUGGCUCUGGUGUAGGCCAGCAGCUACAGCUCCGAUUUGACCCCUAGCCUGGGAACCUUCAUAUGCCGCAGGAGCGGCCCAAGAAAUAGCAAAAAGACAAAAAAAAAAAAAAAAAAAAAAAAAAAGAAGAAGAAGAAAGAAAUAAACAUGCAGAGCCCUGAUCUAAAACACAGUGAUUAAUAGCAUUGCUUUGUAACCCUGUGCCCUAAGAGUUUCAGGAUGCUUUGAACCAGCCAGUCAGCAUUGUUUACGGAUAACAGUGAUUCUGAUGAUUUGUAGCUGGUGAGACCCCGGAAGCCCUAGUCACAUAGGAGGAAUAUGCCGACGACGUGACCAGCCAGGUAUAAGAAAUUCCAGCUGAGACUCCAUGAGGAUGAUUCAUUCACAGGUCAGUUGUUCUUGAUCUGGGAGAGAGUGUAUUCUGCUAAGACUCUUCCUUCCAGAGGGAGGACAACUGAGCUCACAAGUAGUUUUUCUGAACCUUUACUGAGAAACAGCCUUUAGCUGCAAUUCGUAUGUUUAAUAUGGUUGCUACGGUGCAUCUUUUUCCUGUAAUGAACUGUAGAUUUCUAAGUAUCAUCAUUUCAGGAACUGUGACUCUUCUCUGUUUAAUUGUUAGCGUGCUCCCCUUGACUGAGGUUUCCAGAGCUUAUCUCUGAUCUUUACAACCUAAAAGAGCCCAACUGACUCAGCAGGGGACAUAUUUGAACAAGGAAGAGGCUAGUUAGCAGGUGAUGGCAGUAGAGUUCCCCCAAGAUGUCGAGGUUCCCACACAAAGCAGAGGUGAUGGGAGACAAGUGGAAGGAGGAGGUUGGACUGAAUUAGGAGGUAGACUUGACAGUGAUGGGCCAGUGGCUAUUUCAUUGGAUGAGGAUGUGAAGUGAAGAGAGUGAGGGAGGAGGCAAUGACAGUAGAGGUUUCACCCUUGGGCAAUAAGUUCAGCUAUGGUAAUUAUGAUUGGAGCAGUCUCUGUACAAUCCAGAGAAACCUUCUCUUCUUCUAAGAGAACAGUGAGUGUUGUAACCUGUGGAUGAAUUGAAGAGCCGAUGGUAAGAGCCCAUAUUACAGCCUUUUGUUCAACCUGUCAUAGUCUAGUCAGUCCAUAGUUCAGCCAGAGCAGAAAAAUCUGAUAAGAAAAUCAGAUUUAUAACACAGAUAAAGCAGACUGUUGGCAAACAGUCAAUACCCCUUGAAUAUACAUGCUUAUUGUUGGUGAUCAUUAGUUCUUCAUUCGGUCAAUAAAUACUGAGUGCUACUGUGAGUCACAACUGUGCUACAUGUUUAGAAUAAAGCUAAAAAUACAGGCCUGUUCUCUGAUCACAAGAGAUUACUUAAGGUGUAAUACUAUGAAAUAUUGGGCAAUGAAGGGACUGAUGUAAAUAUUCAAGGUGACCAUGAAUUGAGGAAAAUCGGAAAUCCUUUUUUUUUUCCCAUAAGGAUAUCAGUGAGUAUGUUAGAAGCAUAUUAGAUGCUUGAUACAUUAGUGGAAGAUUUUGUAGUGGUUAAAAUAUCCAACUAUCACACUAUGCUGAUCUCUGAUACUUCGGUAAAAUGAUCAAAGGACUUAUGCUGCAAAUCUCAUUCUUGGCUCUGAAGAACUAAGAUUGCUGGGCUGCAAAAAUGCUGGUUCUGUUGGGUACAGCAAUGAAGAGGAAAGGAACAAAACUUUCUGCUGGGGUUUCUCAAUAUUGGCAGUACUGAGGUGAGUUUGGCAGCAAGUCCUUUUCAUCCAAGGGCUUUUACCUCUGCUCCACUUUCUCUCAUUAACUGGACCAGCCAUGCCUCAGAUUGCCAGACUCUUAACUAUAUCCAUAAGCAGAAAUCUGGAAGACGUUAAGAAGACAGUCUAGGAAGUCAGUGUGGAUGGAUGGCUUUCUCCCUCUUGACCAUCUAAUCAUCGUCCACUUGAACUUCAAAAUUCAGUGUCAAUAUCGUCCUCCAGGUCCAGGUGGAAUUCUUUUAUCUCUCCACUGGCGACUCCAUAAGAUUGUUCUGUAUUAAUUUAUCCUGCUCUAUUAUAGCCAUUUAAUUCAAUGACUCUCUCCCAAACAUGGUGAAUUCCUGGAGACCAAUCACCAGGUCUAAUUCAUUUUUCUGUCCCUAAGCGUAUUAAGUACUUAAUAUUCAUUAAAUGAACAAAUGACUACAGAAGACAAAUGAGAAUGAGUUAAAUUGGUAGAUCCAUGACAGAGGGCAAUUUGGUAAUAUUUAUCUACCAAAGUUAAAAUAUAUAAAUCCUUGAAGCCAGCAAUUACAUCUCUGAGAAUUUAUCUGACAGGUUAAUACACAGGUGCCAAAUAUUUAUGGGCAGUUUUGUUCAUUACAGCAUCGUUUGUUAGCAGAAGAGACUUAGAAAUGAUGGAAAUGUCUGCUAAUAGUGGAUUAAUAAUAGAUUAUGCAAUAUCCAUGUGAUGGAAUGACAAGCAGCUGUGAAAAACACAACAGGGAAAGAUCUUCAGGAUAUAAUGUUGAAGGAAAAAACAUUCAGAACAGUAUAAUAUGCAAACAUUUGUGUAAAAAAUGGAGGAAAUGCCUAAAUCUUACAUUUGUUUGAAUAUGUAUAAAUGUCUCUGGAAGGACCCGGAAGAAAUUAAUAACUGCCUUUUUUGAAGAUUGAAGUUUGGAGAGAGAGAAGGACUUUUCAUUGUACUCCUUUUCAUAUUUUUAAGUUCUGAAAAAUGCAAAUAUAUGACUGGUUCAAAAUAUUGUAUAAAUAAUUUUUUGAAAAGGAAAAGUGCAUGCAGAUGAUUACAGCAGUUUUAUUCAUCAUUGCCCAAACUUGGGAGCAACCAAGAUGUCCUCUAUAGGUGAAUGGCUAAAUAAACUGUGGUACCUCCAGAUAAUGGACCACUAUUCAAUAUUAAUAAGAAGUGAUGGAAAAUAAUAUUUAAAAAGAAUGUAUGUAUGUGUAUGACUGAGUCACUUUGUUGUACAGUAGGAAUUGGCACAGCAGUGUAGUAAAAUAUAGUAAAUCAACUUUUUUUAAUAAUUGAAAAAGAAGAAAUGAGGCAUCAAGCCACAAAUAGACAUAAAAGAAACUAUGCAUAUUACUAAGUGAAAGAAGCCAAUUUGAAAAAGUUAUAGACUUCACAAAGUCUAUAAACAAUAAACGAGGUAGAGAGGGUGUGGAAAAAAGGGAACCCUAUUACACCAUUGGUGGGAAUGUAAAUUGGUGCAACCACUGUGGAAAACAGUAUGGAGAUUCCUCAGGAA
ensembl:lncRNA